rnacentral:sRNA from 1 species
GCCUAAGGAAGAAAGUCGAACGGGGAGUUAGCAAUAACUCCUAGUGGCGAACUUUUGAGUAACGCGUAGACAACCUACCUUCUAGCUGGGGACAACACCGCGAAAGUGGUGCUAAUACAGGAUAAUUCCUUUCCUCUCAUGAGGAAAGGCUGAAAGACGGUUUCGGCUGUCACUUAUAGAUGGGCCCGCGGCGCAUUAGCUAGUUGGUAGGGUAACGGCCUACCAAGGCGACGAUGCGUAGCCGACCUGAGAGGGUGAUCGGCCACACUGGGACUGAGACACGGCCCAGACUCCUACGGGAGGCAGCAGUGGGACCCACUCCUACGGGAGGCAGCAGUGGGACUCCUACGUGAGGCAGC